rnacentral:lncRNA from 12 species
CACAGCAGGGACGCACUCCCUGUGGCAGGGGGGUGGGUCCCAGAGCUGAGCGCUGCCCCCACUGCCCCCGGGACACCUGGACCCCGUGCCGCAGCUGAGGGACCUGGCCGGGGUCUCCGGUGAUGAGCCCAAGGUCACUCAAGAUGCCGGCACCUCCGUGCGGGAAGGAGAGCGAAGCUGAGCCCAGGCUGGGCGGCCGGUCUGGGCCGUGGGGGACUGUCCUCCGUCCCCUGGGCUCCCAAAGGCCGGGAAGGGGGAGCCCGGGGUCGCGGCCUGCCGACCCUUUCUGGAGCAGGUGCCCAGGCUCCUGGCGCUUGGCGGGGACCCCGACACGCAGGGAGCGGGACACACGUUUUCCUUUUAAAUCACGGAGGUUUUUUAUUUUACAUGGAAGUAUUUCAUGUUUUGUAACAAAUUUUAGCGAUUUCUAGUGUUUAGAGGCGACCAAAGCUGUCAAGUGUGGGUGUGACCCGUUUCCUGGUGGGGACCUUGUCGCCACCCCGAGGAACUUCUCAGAGCCUGUAAGUUGUAACAAUGCGUUGGGCUGAAUCAGGGAAACCAGGUCGGUGUUUGAACCACGUUUCUCAGAGGCGGAGCGUGGGUGGUGGGAGUGGGGGGGAGGGGGGAGCCCACCGCGUGGGGGGGGCUCGGGCUGCACCUGCUCUGUGUGCCCUUGGGGAGUGUGGGCCACCCCUGUGCUUUGUGGGGACCUGGUGGGGGCAGCGGUGCAGGGGAGGCUCCUGGGGACCCCCUCCCUGGGGGGCCCGCCUGGACUUGGGCUGAGGGAGGCCCCUGGAGACGCUGUCCACCUGCUGGAGGGACACGGGCUGGGUGGCUGCGGUAGGGCGUGUCUGCACACGGCCAGGGCCCUACCUCACCCUGGGGCAGGUACGUGCGCUUCCCUGGCUCCCCCUCCUCUAGGACCCUCCCAUGGGGGGCCGGCCCCCUGCCCCUGGGCUGCAGAAACCCCACAGUGCAUGGUGUGCUGGUGCGGGGUGUGGGUGUGUGGGUGCACGGAUGUGGGGUGCGGCAUGCGCAG